rfam:Heterocephalus glaber contig22323, whole genome shotgun sequence.
GCAUGGCUCAGUAGUAGAGAGCUUGCCUCACAUGCAAGAGGCCUUGGGGUUCCACCCCCCAUCAAUGCA